UGUGUGUGUGUGUGUGUGUGUGUGUGUGUGUGUGUGUGUGUGUACACCUCACAGGGCCCCCUUAAAGGAGUAGUCCCUCGCCUGCCCUCAUCCACCCCGGCCCCUACCCUCGAGCCAGACCGCAAGUCCCAGCUCCGACCAGCAGGGGGGGACCUCGUCCACCGAAUCCGCAGCUGCUGGGCUUCCUCUAACACAAAUCCUGGGUCUGGGCCCUAGCCACGCAGGGGUACGGGGAGUCCCUCAGGCCCGGGUCCCCUAGGCCACCAGGAAGCAGCUACCCCCAGCCCACUAUCCGGGAGAGGAUGCAGAAGAGAGAGGACCCCUAUCCCUCUCGCCCCCACAGGACUCAGGGCUGCUGGGGACCAGACCUGGAAACCUGGCUCCGUGUGUCACACCCAAGUACACACGUGCUCAGUCACCCCCUGAGCCUCUGCUCCACCUGGAAAUGGAAGCCGGGAAAAGCCUUGAUUCUCCUAUGGGAGGUUUCCUACUCCUCCCCUCCCCCUCUGCCCAGGGCCUGCUGGUUUUCACCUGGUAGGACAGGGGGCAAGCUGAGCUCCUGGAAGAAAGCUGGAGUAGGGCACUUGGAGAGCAUGGACAAGGUUGGAAGUCGGCCUUAGAAGAAUGGGGAGAGGGAGAGCUGACUGAGGACGGUGUAAGGAUGGCUGAGCAGAGCCGUGACCCCCACUGAAGCCAGAGACCGUGGACUCUUCGUGGCAGAAGCCUGCAUGCUGGGCGAGUUGUUCUAGCGGCGCUCAAUGGCGCAGAUCCGGAUGGGGCCAGAGGGCGGUGGAGGAGAAAGGAACGGAGACAUGCAGGGGCCGGGGUGGAGAAAAGGGGUGGGCGUGCAGGACAGUGGAGGCACUGAUGCCAGGGGAUCUGGCUGGGGAGGGGAGGGUGAGGCCAGGAAAGGGAAUGGAAGAGGGUGCGUGAACAGAGCCUGUAACCAGAGCUGGGCUAUUCCACUUGAAGAUUUCAGAGAGCUCAGACCUAGGUGGGAUGGGUAUAAGGCUGGCUGGAAUGAAGUAGAUAUGAAAGUCACCUGCCUCCAGGAGGUCAAGCAGCUUUUAUUCAUUCAUUCUUUCAUCAAUAAAUAUUUAUUGAGCACGAGGCACCCGGGUGGCUCAGUAGGUUAAGCGUCUGCCUUUGGCUCAGGUUAUGAUCCCAGGGUCCUGG